rnacentral:siRNA from 1 species
AAGAUCAUUUAUUUAGGUAUCUCU